CAAACUGGAGAUGGCGACCGGCGCACGGGUGAGUAACACGUAUCCAACCUGCCGAUAACUCGGGGAUAGCCUUUCGAAAGAAAGAUUAAUACCCGAUGGCAUAAUAGAACCGCAUGGUUUGAUUAUUAAAGAAUUUCGGUUAUCGAUGGGGAUGCGUUCCAUUAGGUUGUUGGCGGGGUAACGGCCCACCAAGCCUUCGAUGGAUAGGGGUUCUGAGAGGAAGGUCCCCCACAUUGGAACUGAGACACGGUCCAAACUCCUACGGGAGGCAGCAUG
rnacentral:rRNA from 1 species